rnacentral:tRNA from 1 species
AAUGGAGUGGCUGAUUAUAGUGAUAAAUUGUAAAUUUAUUUAAGGUUUAUUUACCCUUCAUUA